GCCAUUCCGAUUACAAAGAGACACACGUUCUUAGGACGUUUUUUUUCUCUAGUACAUUCUUAGGAAGACCGGGCUCUGCGUUUUAUGAAAUUGAGAAAAUGAUUUACUAAUUAGAAUGGCUGUGUGAACUUCCCUGCUGGUUCUGGCAUAUUUCUGUAAUUCAUUAUCGUUAAUUCACAUGACUAGAUUACAUGAAACUAGUCAUCAGCUUGUGGUGAGCUUUAUUGCUACAAAAGUUUUGCUUUGACAUUUAACAAGGAGGAGUACAAGACUGAACCAUCCAUGGAUUUCAUUAUUUCGUUCUUUGUUUUCAGGUGACCACUUGUUUAAAAUACAUCUAUUCCAAAAACAUAAA